UGCAGGCACCUGGCAGACCAAGGGGUGCUGUUACCGGGCACAUACUGGGUGCAGGAACAGGCGGGCCAAACAUCGAGGAAAGUGCACUGCAAUAAUAACGGUCCGUGCCAUAAACCACUGCUGCACUCUUAUGAGAACACUUUAACAAUUACGACAUCUUCGAACUCCAGUGACGGCAACUAUACAGCAAACAAUGUGUUCCUCUACGGCCUGUUUGGUGUCGGCUUUGAGACGGGAGAUUCCAACCCCUGGAUCCAAGUGUCCUUCAGCGAACUCUUCAUAUUUACCGGCGUCGCGACUCAAGGUGCCAAGGAUGUCGACAAUAUACAGUGGGUUGGAGGCUACACCAUCGACUAUAGCGAAGACGGCAUGAACUGGACACAUUACGAC